rnacentral:rRNA from 1 species
CGACGUGAGGUAAGGUUGCCGGGAAUACACGCGCAUCAGACACCACAAAAGNGUUAGUUCAUCUAGACAGCAGGACGGUGGCCAUGGAAGUCGGAAUCCGCUAAGGAGUGUGUAACAACUCACCUGCCGAAUGAACUAGCCCUGAAAAUAGGAUGGCGCUUAAGCGUGUUACCUAUACCUCACCGUCAGUGUUAGAGCGAUGCGCUGACGAGUAGGCAGGCGUGGAGGUUGUAUCGAAGCCUAGGCAGUGAUGCGUGGGUGGAACAGCCUCUAGUGCAGAUCUUGGUGGUAGUAGACAAAUAUUCAAGUGAGAACCUUAGAAGACUGAAGUGGAAGAAAGGUUCCAUGGUAACAGCAGUUGGACAGUGGGUGAGCCGAUACCUAAGAGAGUAGGGUAGUUCCGUAUGAAAGUGCGCGAUUCUUCGCGCCGCCUAUCGAAAGGGAAGCCGGUUAAAAUUCCGGCGCCAGGAUGUGGAUGAUAGACGGCAACGUAAACCGAACCAGGAGACGUCGGCGACGGUCGACGCGGCCG